rnacentral:rRNA from 1 species
UGGGAACGCGAAGAACCUUACCUACUCUUGACAUCCAGAGAACUUAGCAGAGAUGCUUUGGUGCCUUCGGGAACUCUGAGACAGGUGCUGCAUGGCUGUCGUCAGCUCGUGUUGUGAAAUGUUGGGUUAAGUCCCGCAACGAGCGCAACCCUUAUCCUUUGUUGCCAGCGAUUCGGUCGGGAACUCAAAGGAGACUGCCAGUGAUAAACUGGAGGAAGGUGGGGAUGACGUCAAGUCAUCAUGGCCCUUACGAGUAGGGCUACACACGUGCUACAAUGGCAUAUACAAAGAGAAGCGACCUCGCGAGAGCAAGCGGACCUCAUAAAGUAUGUCGUAGUCCGGAUUGGAGUCUGCAACUCGACUCCAUGAAGUCGGAAUCGCUAGUAAUCGUGGAUCAGAAUGCCACGGUGAAUACGUUCCCGGGUCUUGUACACACCG